AUCGCUUCUCGGCCUUUUGGCUAAGAUCAAGUGUAGUAUCUGUUCUUAUCAGUUUAAUAUCUGAUAUGUCCUCUAUUUGAGGACUACAUAUUAAAUGGAUUUUUAGAGCUGGGAGAUGGAAAAGGGGCUUGCUCUGGCCACUCCAAGCAUCAACCUAGUAUUGCAGUGCCUCCAGGAAGGGUGCACCUUCC
rnacentral:snRNA from 1 species